GGACGAACGCUGGCGGCGUGCUUAACACAUGCAAGUCGAGCGGUAAGGCCCUUUCGGGGGGUACACGAGCGGCGAACGGGUGAGUAACACGUGGGUGACCUGUCCCUCUAGCUCUGGGAUAAGCCUGGGAAACUGGGUCUAAUACCGGAUAUGACCUCCAUGACGCAUGUUGUGGGGGUGGAAAGCCUUGUGCGGCUGAGGAUGGGGCCCGCGGCCUAUCAGCUUGUUGGUGGGGUGANGGCCUACCAAGGCGACGACGGGUAGCCGGCCUGAGAGGGCGACCGGCCACACUGGGACUGAGACACGGCCCAGACUCC
rnacentral:rRNA from 1 species